rnacentral:lncRNA from 1 species
ACUUUCCAACGAUAUCUCGUCCAGAAAUUUCAAUUUAUUACUACGUGUCAUUUUUAUUCUGUUCAAAGAAUUAUAAUUCUUUUAUUUAGAAUUUUUAUCUAAAUUUUAGCAUUAAAAAAAUACCCAACAAAUCAGUUGACUGAAGUAAAAUUAACCUAGCGCAUAUGGGGAUCUCCCCAACAAAGCAUCAUCGGAGAGCUCUC